rnacentral:lncRNA from 1 species
UGAUGGUUUGUUUUGUGGAGUAAGCUGGGGAGGGCAGGGUAAAUAGGAGUUAGAGAUUAACGUAAUGCAAGGGAAGGGCCCUAAGGGCCUGUGGCCACACCUGGGAGGCAGCAGGCAGGAGAGGCAUUCAGAGGAGCUUGGGAUCCUCUUUCUGGCCAGCCCAGCUCCUCCAAGGAAGGGAAGUUUAACGAUGUGAGGCUAAGGGGAAACUUCAGAAGAGGCAGCACAACUUUCACAGUGGCAGAGUUCCUAUGUGACAUAUGACUACAGAAGAGUCAUAAGUCACAGCAUUCCAGA